rfam:Schistosoma mansoni strain Puerto Rico chromosome 1, complete genome
GCACAGCUGAGGAGUCCCAAAAUAAGACGAAACGGCCGUCCAGUGC